rnacentral:rRNA from 1 species
UACGUAGGGGGCCAGCGUUAUCCGGAAUCAUUGGGCGUAAAGCGCGUGUAGGCGGCCCGGUAAGUCCGCUGUGAAAGUCGGGGGCUCAACCCUCGGAUGCCGGUGGAUACUGUCGGGCUUGAGUACGGAAGAGGCGAGUGGAAUUCCUGGUGUAGCGGUGAAAUGCGCAGAUAUCAGGAGGAACACCGAUUGCGAAGGCAGCUCGCUGGGACGUUACUGACGCUGAGACGCGAAAGCGUGGGGAGCAAACAGG